ACCAGUUACAAAAGACAGAAGCAAAAUAGAUAAGCUGGAAUUAAGUGAAAUUAAUGAAUUUGAAGAUGGUGUUUAUAUUGGUUUUUAAAUUAAUACAUAAAACAACACCUAACCUUGAAUUGUAUGAUAAUGGAUGGGAAUGAGAGAGAGACAGAGAGGCAGAGAGACGGGAAAAGAGGAGAC